AAAUUCGCAGAGGAGACGAAUUCACGGCGAAGUGUAAAAAUAGAGAACGGGAAUAAUAAUGACACUUGCAGGAAAAAGAGAGAUCCAAAGUAGUUGCCUAAAAAAAGUAUUUCGUGUAAAAACUCAUCACCCAGAAGAGAAGCCCUCCCCCAAAAUAAAAAAAGAGGCAAGAAUUGUCAAAAUAAUAACGGUAUUAAGAUGAACGGUGAACGCGUUCUCUCUCUCCCCGGACUUUCCCCCUCCCCCCUGUUUCUCUCUCUCUCCUUUCCCCCUUUUUUCUGUCUUUCUUUCCGAGUUUGGUUUUUUUUUUUUUUCCAGUUUCACCUCUCUCCUCUUCUCCUGCAGGAAUGAAGCGAAAGACACAAGGAGGAAGGGUGGAAAAAAGAAGAAAAGGAAGGAGAAGAGGGAGAUGAAGGGGGGGCACACAACUAAUAGAAUAUGCAAGAAAGGGAAGGGGGGGAGAGAGGGAGAGAGGGAGA